rnacentral:piRNA from 1 species
UGGACACAAUCUUUAAAUGUCUUUUCUACU